rnacentral:rRNA from 1 species
AGAGUUUGAUCAUGGCUCAGAACGAACGCUGGCGGCAGGCCUAACACAUGCAAGUCGAACGCCCCGCAAGGGGAGUGGCAGACGGGUGAGUAACGCGUGGGAACCUUCCCUAUAGUACGGAAUAUACCAGGGAAACUUGGAGCAAUACCGUAUACGCCCGAAAGGGGAAAGAUUUAUCGCUAUAGGAUGGGCCCGCGUAGGAUUAGCUAGUUGGUGAGGUAAUGGCUCACCAAGGCGACGAUCCUUAGCUGGUCUGAGAGGAUGAUCAGCCACACUGGGACUGAGACACGGCCCAGACUCCUACGGGAGGCAGCAGUGGGGAAUAUUGGGCAAUGGGCGAAAGCCUGACCCAGCCAUGCCGCGUGAGUGACGAAGGCCUUAGGGUUGUAAAGCUCUUUUGGCGGGGACGAUAAUGACGGUACCCGCAGAAUAAGCCCCGGCUAACUUCGUGCCAGCAGCCGCGGUAAUACGAAGGGGGCUAGCGUUGUUCGGAAUCACUGGGCGUAAAGCGCACGUAGGCGGACUUUCAAGUCAGGGGUGAAAUCCCGGGGCUCAACCUCGGAACUGCCUUUGAUACUGUUGGUCUCGAGUCCGAUAGAGGUGGGUGGAAUUCCUAGUGUAGAGGUGAAAUUCGUAGAUAUUAGGAAGAACACCGGUGGCGAAGGCGGCCCACUGGAUCGGUACUGACGCUGAGGUGCGA